UACGAAGGGGGCUAGCGUUGUUCGGAAUUACUGGGCGUAAAGCGCGCGCAGGCGGCUAUCCAAGUCAGUGGUGAAAGCCCGGAGCUCAACUCCGGAACUGCCAUUGAAACUGUUUAGCUUGAGGACGAGAGAGGUGAGUGGAAUUCCCAGUGUAGGAGGUGAAAAUUCGUAGAUAUUGGGAAGAACACCGGUGGCGAAGGCGGCUCACUGGCUCGUAUCUGACGCUCAGGCGCGACAGCGUGGGGAUCGAAACAAGG
rnacentral:rRNA from 1 species